GGGGAUGUAGCUCAGCUGGGAGAGCGCCGCGUUCGCAAUGCGGAGGCCAGGAGUUCGAUCCUCCUCAUCUCCACCA
rnacentral:tRNA from 1 species